ACUUCCUACGGGGCGCAGCAGUGGGGAAUAUUGCACAAUGGGGGAAACCCUGAUGCAGCGACGCCGCGUGGGUGAAGAAGUAUUUCGGUAUGUAAAGCCCUAUCGGCAGGGAAGAAAUUGGACGGUACCUGACUAAGAAGCCCUGGCUAACUACGUGCCAGCAGCCGCGGUAAUACGUAGGGGGGAAGCGUUAUCCGGAUUCACUGGGUGUAAAGGGAGCGUAGACGGCCAUGCAAGCCUGGAGUGAAAGCCCGGGGACCAACCCCGGGACUGCUCUGGGAACUGUGCGGCUGGAGGGCGGGAGG
rnacentral:rRNA from 1 species